AUUGAACGCUGGCGGAAUGCUUUACACAUGCAAGUCGAACGGCAGCACGGACUUCGGUCUGGUGGCGAGUGGCGAACGGGUGAGUAAUACAUCGGAACGUGCCCAGUCGUGGGGGAUAACGUAGCGAAAGCUACGCUAAUACCGCAUACGAUCUAAGGAUGAAAGCGGGGGAUCGCAAGACCUCGCGCGAUUGGAGCGGCCGAUAUCAGAUUAGGUAGUUGGUGGGGUAAAGGCUCACCAAGCCGACGAUCUGUAGCUGGUCUGAGAGGACGACCAGCCACACUGGGACUGAGACACGGCCCAGACUCCUACGGGAGGCAGCAGUGGGGAAUUUUGGACAAUGGGCGAAAGCCUGAUCCAGCCACGCCGCGUGCAGGAUGAAGGCCUUCGGGUUGUAAACUGCUUUUGUACGGAACGAAAAGGUUUGGGCUAAUAAGCUGAGCCCAUGACGGUACCGUAAGAAUAAGCACCGGCUAACUACGUGCCAGCCGCCGCGGUAA
rnacentral:rRNA from 1 species